UGGGGAAUAUUGGACAAUGGGCGAAAGCCUGAUCCAGCCAUGCCGCGUGUGUGAAGAAGGUCUUCGGAUUGUAAAGCACUUUAAGUUGGGAGGAAGGGCAUUAACCUAAUACGUUAGUGUUUUGACGUUACCGACAGAAUAAGCACCGGCUAACUCUGUGCCAGCAGCCGCGGUAAUACAGAGGGUGCAAGCGUUAAUCGGAAUUACUGAGCGUAAAGCGCGCGUAGGUGGUUUGUUAAGUUGGAUGUGAAAUCCCCGGGCUCAACCUGGGAACUGCAUUCAAAACUGACUGACUAGAGUAUGGUAGAGGGUGGUGGAAUUUCCUGUGUAGCGGUGAAAUGCGUAGAUAUAGGAAGGAACACCAGUGGCGAAGGCGACCACCUGGACUAAUACUGACACUGAGGUGCGAAAGCGUGGGGAGCAAACA
rnacentral:rRNA from 1 species